GCACACAAUUAAAUGUUUGUUGUAGUCGAGUUGAACUGUCAUUGAUAUUUAUUUAUUCACUUUUAAGAACCUCAAGGGCAGCUAAUAUGAAGAUAUAAAGAGUUGUUCUUCCACAGUCUUAAAAUUCUUCAAACUAAUUGUCAGUUCGAUUCAUUAUAGCAAACAAUACUUUCUUUACUAUUAGGAGAUCAGGAGUUUUAUUUUAAUGAAACCUUGAUAAUAGAGUGAACUACACAUGGUGUUAUCGCAAAUGAAAUCUUUUUAUGUAGAUUUUAAGUGAGUUUUAUUUGCACAAAUAAGGUUCACUGAUAUUUUGCUUGGUUGACUUUCAGGUUCUUUCAUUUUGGUUAUAAGUACAUGUUACAGGUGUGUUGGUGUAAAAAUUGAUGCUGACUGAACUCAGGCAGUUGUGCUGGACCAUCUGUACCUAAUACAGGGGAUGACAGUAAACUUCCAAGUUUAGGAGCCACCUGAUGAUGAGAGAGACAAUUUCAAUGUGGGCAUCUUGAUGAAGAAGAGUCCACAGUCACAAUAACAAGAUCAUUGGGCUGUCCCCUAAUUGUGGUGAGCUACAUGUUUAGUCUCUUAUGUGCUAAACAUUAUGUAGCCUAAGGAAGCAGCCCUGACUCUGGAGUUUAUAUGAAGGAGCAUGCUGAGUAACUAUCCAGAAUGUAGGGUCAUAGCAGAAAAAAGUGCACCAAGCAGAAACAUACCAUCUAAACUCCUUCGAUUCCUGUCAGACCAGAAAGACUUUCAGAAUCCUUGGAAGAUUUAAAGCCAUUGAAGUAUCAGUAUUGGAGCGGAAGAAGACCCAGUUGUAUCGUCUGUUUCCUGCCAUCUUGCAGUUAACCUGGUUUCUUAAUGUAAAGUACUUGUAAUUUGCCCACUUGUCCUCAAUUAUCUUAAAGCUAACAUUUAAAACUAAUUUGCUUUGAGAUUAUUUGCCAAGACUUCUCACUGUGUGAUUCACAUGUCAAUAUGUAUUUAUUGUGUGUAUAACUAGCUAUU